UGCGUUCGCUGCCUUCGUUGUCCUCAAUGCGUCUUUGUACAUCGCAGUUCGGAUAACACUUUUUGCGCUGGACAUCCUUCUUGUCCAUUGGCACUAGCUGGAUGACGGGACCUCAGCAUGAUCAGUGGAAAAGGAAGGGCCUGGGCGCCUCUUUGCAGAGCCGACCUCGGGACCACUCCACCUCGAGGAAGAAGAGAGCACCUGUCCCCCUCCCCCAUAGAGCACCCCUUUUCUGCCGCAAGGCUUCGCCUAUUA